rnacentral:lncRNA from 1 species
UGAAUUAGGGUUCCUUGGGACACAAGCCUCAAACCCUUUGACUUGCUAUGAUAAAAAUGAUGAAUUGAGAUACUAGGGAGGCAUAUUUGAUGGAUGAGAGCUUUAGGAACCAUUGUCAUGCUUGCCUUCAUCUUCUCUUGGCCAUAUCAUUGCACAAAGGAUCACCUAGAAGCUUUGGGCCUUGUGAUUGCUCAAGCUACAAACAAGAAAUGUUAGUGACAUAUUUUUGUGCUUUUGG